CCUACGGGUGGCUGCAGUGAGGAAUAUUGGUCAAUGGACGCAAGCCUGAACCAGCCAAGUCGCGUGCAGGAUGACUGCCCUACGGGUUGUAAACUUCUUUUAUAAAGGAAUAAACGGAGACACGUGUACCUUUUUGUAUGUACUUUAUGAAUAAGGAUCGGCUAACUCCGUGCCAGCAGCCGCGGUAAUACGGAGGAUCCGAGCGUUAUCCGGAUUUAUUGGGUUUAAAGGGAGCGUAGGUGGGUGGUUAAGUCAGUUGUGAAAUUUUGGGGCUCAACCUUAGAAUUGCAGUUGAUACUGUCAGGCUUGAGGACAGUUGAGGUAGGCGGAAUGCGUGGUGUAGCGGUGAAAUGCUUAGAUAUCACGAAGAACUCCGAUUGCGAAGGCAGCUUACUAAACUGCUACUGACGUUGAUGCACGAAAGCGUGGGUAUCAAACAGGAUUAGAUACCCCUGUAGUC
rnacentral:rRNA from 1 species